AUUGAACGCUGGCGGCAUGCCUUACACAUGCAAGUCGAACGGUAACAGGCCGCAAGGUGCUGACGAGUGGCGAACGGGUGAGUAAUGCAUCGGAACGUGCCCAGUCGUGGGGGAUAACGCAGCGAAAGCUGCGCUAAUACCUCAUACUGUCUACGGCUGAAAGAGGGGGACCGUAAGGCCUCGAGCGAUUGGCGCGGCCGGUGUCAGAUUAGGUAGUUGGUGGGGUAAAGUUCCACCAAGCCAACGAUCUGGAGCUGGUCUGAUGGGACGACCAGCCACACUGGGACUGAGACACGGCCCAGACUCCUACGGGAGGCAGCAGUGGGGAAUUUUGGACAAUGGGCGCAAGCCUGAUCCAGCAAUGCCGCGUGCAGGAAGAAGGCCUUCGGGUUGUAAACUGCUUUUGUACGGAACGAAACGGCUCUGGUUAAUACCCGGGGCUAAUGACGGUACCGUAAGAAUAAGCACCGGCUAACUACGUGCCAGCCGCCGCCGUAA
rnacentral:rRNA from 1 species